GACGAACGCUGGCGGCGUGCCUAAUACAUGCAAGUCGAACGCAGUGGGGACGGUUGAGGAACACGUGGGUAACCUCCCAUCAGAGGGGAUAACCCUUGGCAACAGGUGCUAAAACGAUACUGAUGUAUGAACCCGCGGUGCAUUAGCGAGUUGGGGAGGUAACGGCUCACCAAGCCCACGAUGCAUAGCCGACCUGAGAGGGUGAUCGGCCAAACUGGGACUGAGACACGGCCCAGACUCCUACGGGAGGCAGCAGUAGGGAAUCUUCGGCAAUGGAGGAAAGUCUGACCGAGCAACGCCGCGUGAGUGAAGAAGGCUUUCGGAUCGUAAAGCUCUUUUGUUAGAGAAGCGGUAUCUAACCAGAAAGCAACGGCUAACUACGUGCCAGCAGCCGCGGUAAUAC
rnacentral:rRNA from 1 species